CCUACGGGGGGCAGCAGUGGGGAAUAUUGCACAAUGGGGGAAACCCUGAUGCAGCGACGCCGCGUGAAGGAUGAAGUAUUUCGGUAUGUAAACUUCUAUCAGCAGGGAAGAAAAUGACGGUACCUGACUAAGAAGCCCCGGCUAACUACGUGCCAGCAGCCGCGGUAAUACGUAGGGGGCAAGCGUUAUCCGGAUUUACUGGGUGUAAAGGGAGCGUAGACGGCAUGGCAAGUCUGAUGUGAAAACCCGGGGCCCAACCCCGGGAGUGCAUUGGAAACUGCCAGGCUGGAGUGUCGGAGGGGUAAGCGGAAUUCCUAGUGUAGCGGUGAAAUGCGUAGAUAUUAGGAGGAACACCAGUGGCGAAGGCGGCUUACUGGACGACUACUGACGCUGAGGCUCGAAAGCGUGGGGAGCAAACAGGAUUAGAUACCCGAGUAGUC
rnacentral:rRNA from 1 species